UACGAAGGGGGCUAGCGUUGCUCGGAAUCACUGGGCGUAAAGCGCACGUAGGCGGAUUGCUAAGUCAGGGGUGAAAUCCCGGGGCUCAACCUCGGAACUGCCUUUGAUACUGACAAUCUCGAGUCCUGAAGAGGUGGGUGGAAUUCCUAGUGUAGAGGUGAAAUUCGUAGAUAUUAGGAAGAACACCAGUGGCGAAGGCGGCCCACUGGUCCGGUACUGACGCUGAGGUGCGAAAGCGUGGGGAGCAAACAGG
rnacentral:rRNA from 1 species